CGCUCUCGUGCCACGCCAAUCCUUGAGUUGGGCACAUCAUAAAGUAUCCUAUGGUUUUGUUGCUGCAUAUUGGCUAUAACAUUUAGCACUGAAUUCACGUUAUCUGGUGCUGCAGCCAUGGCUAGGCAUGUGAUGCUACCGGCUGUGCUGUGGAUUAGUAGGUUUUCUGGUGGUAAUGUCACAUUCAUGCCGGAGAACAUGAAUUUUAUGUUGGGUGCUACAAUUGGUACGGAGUAACAUGUGUCGAAUCCGCCUAGGGAUGUCACCGUUGCAUUGCCGACUCGCUUUCGGAAUGCAUCCCGGACUGCCGUGUAGGCUGGAGUGACAAGCCUGGUGAAUACAGUUCCGGAAUCAAAGAUGGUUCCAGCACCGGUGGUCGGAUUGAAAGCCAAAGCGCUAGGAGGAAUGUCAACAACUCUUCUUCCAACUCUAAUUGCGACCAAGUUAACAUAGUAAAGUGACGAUCUCCUAGGAUUCUUUAGCAAUGGUGUAGUCUUAAUCCUCUUCGGUUGCCCAAUGGGUCCAAGCCUCAGUGAGCCAGAAAAGCUUAGAGACCUAAAGCUAGGAAGGCAGUAUGAGAAAGUGGAUUUGUAAAGUUUUUGGGACUGAGACAAAAGAGACAAUGGUCCUCUGCCCAAGCCCAGAAGCCCCUGGGGAGGGACUGAUCUGCCUGUGGCUUUUGUAAUGCAACCAAAAGUGUAGCCAGGUACUGAGUCAGUGGCUAGAGUGAUAUUGUCCUGCGAGAGGUUUGCUGCUAUGGACGAGCUGCCGUAGGUCAUGUUGAAUGUGCAUGCUUUGCCACCACAGAUGGCGUUGGGUACCUGCUUGCACUGAGCAGCUUGGCAGCCAAGGGUUUUGAAGGUAGUAGAUUUUGCAGAGUUGAAAACUGCAGAAGAACACCCAACACACCCACUGCAAGGAAGCCAAGCAACAUCAUUGCUAGUAUCCAUGGCUAAGAGCAUGGUCUGGGCUGGAGUUCCAAUCUUAGCCCUAACAAUAUAGGUUGGGCUCUGAGUAAUCUGCCUGCCUGAGGCAACCGGCACCACAGAUUUCCUAGCAACCAAGCUUGACAAAUAUUGAAGCCUAGCUUG
rnacentral:misc_RNA from 1 species